GCCGGGCGCGGUGGCGCACGCCUGUAGUCCCAGCUACUCGGGAGGCUGAGGCAGGAGGAUCGCUUGAGCCCAGGAGUUCUGGGCUGUACGUGCGCUAUGCUGAUCGGGUGUCCGCACUAAGUUCGGCAUCAAUAUGGUGACCUCCCGGGAGCGGGGGACCACCAGGUUGCCUAAGGAGGGGUGAACCGGCCCAGGUCGGAAACGGAGCAGGUCAAAAAAUGAAUUUAUUUCCCCCAUCUCACUCAUGUAUGUCUAUUUUUAUCUGCAAGGUAGUGAUUCGUUUUGGGUUUGUUUUUUGC
ensembl:misc_RNA Metazoa_SRP Metazoan signal recognition particle RNA